rnacentral:rRNA from 1 species
AAAUUCCSCAAUGCGCGCAAGCGUGAGGGAGUGAGCCCGAGUGCCGCCCGCUGAGGGUGGCUGUUCCCGGGUGUAAACAGSCCGGGUAAUAAGGG